GGGGAGCGGAGCUCUCGGGAAAGGGCGGCGCUGGGCCCGCGGCUGUUUUGCAGGGAGGGCCGCGGCGGCCUCGGGAGUCCCUCUCCCAGGCAGUUUCCUCUUUUGCAGAACAAGGUAAUGACGCCCACCUAGAGUCCCAGUCUGUGAGUCCUGGUGGGUGCCAGGGCCCCCGGCACAGCACCCUUCGCACGGGAGCGCCCGGCUGUCACAGGGGCCGAAUCUCACGAGCUCGGUCACUUAGGACAAUGUAGACGCCCUUUCUGGGAGGCCGGGGCUCAGUUCAGAGAGGUCGAGGUGGCGCGGUGCAGCGGUGCUCUCCUGCAGGAACAGGCGAGUCACCCAGAGUUUACUGAAUACCGCCCCCCCCCCCCCCCCCGCCCUCCGUGUGAAACUCUGCGCUGCCCAUUGUGCAGCUGGGAACACUGAGCCCCAGGCGACAUAACUUGCUCCUCCAGGCAAUACACAGUGAAUGGGAGAACCCCUUCACAGAGCUGAAUGAUGCAGUCCUGGCCCUUGUCAGACUCACGGGAGGAGGGUGUUAGUGCAGGGAGCAGGGACUGUAGAAUUAAAGAAAUGUGGACAUGGCUGACAGAGAGGAGUCCCAUCAGCUGAACUGAGCACCUAGGUGCCUGAACCCCAGUCCAAGCCCCCAGUUUCUUUCCCCUAGACCUGGUCCUGCCCUUAGCCUCACUGGCCCCAUCUGUAAAAUGGGCAGAGGGUUCCAGCCUCCCGGUUUCCUCCCUAGGCCCACAGCUGCCCAACCUGGUUCCCCCUCUUGCCCCCACCUUGCCUAAACGUCCUUCCAAAGGUUCAUUCAUCCCACAAGCCUUUAUUGAUUUUCUCCUACAUGCUAGACAGGGUGCUGGAGUGCUAGACGCUGGAGGGGGCCUUCCCAGUCUGGUGGGGGAGGCAGAUGUGCAAGUAAGAAUAAGCCUGGACAGGCAGAGUGUGAUAGAGCUAGGAUGUCAAGAUGGACCUUUUCGAUCCUGGGUGACAGCCAGGUCUUAAUGACCCUGCUGCCAGGGACCUGCCAUCCACUCCUGGCUGCCCGUGUCCAAGAUGUCCCCCCAGUGCCCCUGCCCCACCCCAGCUGGGCCCAAAACAUUCCCCAUGAUGAAUCAGCAGGAAAGAAUGCUCCCAGCCUCGGGUCAGUGGCAGCAGCCCAGCUCCUCCCCCAGGGACAAUGAGGCAGCUGUGGGCUUGGGUGCCAGGUAUGCCUAAGCCCUCUCCUAGGGCCCAGCCACCUCUCAUGCUGAGCCAGAAGCAACACAGAGGGUUCGGAAACGUGGGCUCUGCCUGCUGCCAAUCACUCACCAGGCCUGGCUGCCCAGAACUAAAAAUACCCUGGAGCGCAGGGGCGGGCGGAGGAUAGAGACCAGGGAAUGAAUGGAUGUUGCCCGGAAGUCCUUUAAUUUGCACAACUCUGGGCAGAGGCCAAGGCUGGGAAGCAGUGGAAGUGGGGAUCUCUAAGGCAUGCGCUGUGAGCCCCCAACCCUGAGAAGUGAGGGGCUCUGGUCCCAGCCCCAGCCCAUGGCGUACUAACAGUGGGAUUUUCUCGGCUGAGUUGUCAUCUCCUCAUCCUUAAAUGUGAUUGCUGUAGGGGUCAGAUGGGACCACUGGAUUCAUCUCAAUCAGCUUUCAUUUGAUUGAGAAAGCCCUCUUCUUCCCUCCUGCCUGGCUAUGUUCACCCGGCCUCAGCCCAGCGCCUGUGACCCUCUCCAUACUCUUUAUAUAAUGGUCUGUGUCUGCCUUAACUCUGGACACCCCCACCCACCCCCGAGCUUCUUAUUUAUCUCUAAACCCAGAUCCUGUCACAGAGCUUGACACAUAGCAAGUGCUCCAGAAGUGCUCACGGAUUGAAUAAAUGGACCUAGCGGUGCGUGCCAGUUUCUGGUCCCCAAGGUGAUACAGACAAGCCAGAGGUGCUUCCUAUCUUGUCCUCAAGGAAUUUGCAGAGUGGUGGGGGAGACAGAGCCACAAUCAACCAGCAGGACAAGGCAUCAUCACCAUUAUCAUCAUCAUGGCUGGCUGGGGUCGAAAAACCGGUGGACAAUGCUUUCAUCAUCUCCUGUUUACACAAUGAAACUGGGACACAAAGGGGUUAAGUGACUUGGCCAACAUCACACAGCUGUUAUCUGCAGAUGGGAGCAAGUGAUCAAUGACGGCGAAAGCACAGGGCUGUGUGGAUGCUGGGCAGGGAAGUCUGAGGGUUGAAGCCUUCCCAGAAGUGCCUUGGAAGGUGGAUCUGAUACACUGGGUAGAGAGGGGGGAAAGUGGAGUGGUCAGGAAUAACACUUUACGAUGUUGUGGAAGCCGUGAAGCACCAUGCAGGUGUCUGGAGUUACCGCAGCUCCCCUGAUCCCUCAGCCAGUACCCAGGGACUUGGAUGUGUAAGCAUCACCUCUCCCUGCCUCCUCCCAGGGAAAGGAGCUAACAUGAAUCUCUUCCCCAUGGGGUGCUUCUCAACCCUCCCUUCCUGCCUAAGUCAGGGUCUGUACUUUCCUCCCAAGUGGGAAGGCCAGAAUCUCCUGCAGAAAGCGGUGGCCUCCAGGGUGCACCUGGUUGAACCCAGUAGUGACCCUGGUGGAGUGCCCAGUGCCCAUGCCUGCUGGCAAACUUCCUCCUCAGCAGCCUUCAGGACUCAGUUCUAGCCUCAUCUCCUCUGUGACUCAGUAUGGAGGAAACUGUACAGCUUUAAAACUGGGCAACCUGAGUUCUAGCUCUGCUUCUGAAUUGUGUGGCCUCGGAUGAAGUCUUGCUCUGUCACCCAGGCUGGAGUGCGGUGGUGUGAUCUUGGCUUACUGCAAACUUCCCCUCCCAGGUUCAAGCGAUUCUCCUGCUGCAGCCUCCUUGGGUAGCUGGGAUUACAGGUCUAUGCCACUGUGUCCGGCUAAUUUUUGUAUUAUUAGUAGAGAUGGGUUUUCACCAUGUUGGCCAGGCUGGUCUUGAACUCCUGAUAUCAAGUGAUCUGCCCUCCUCGACCUCCCAAAGUGCUGGGAUUACAGGUGUGAGCCACUAUGCCUGACCCGGUCUUGUAUUAUCUUGCAUUUUGGUUUGUUGAUGUAGAGCUUUGUAAACAUUUCAAAGACUCUUUGUUAGGAAUUGGUUUUAUCUACCAGCCAGAAUGUAUGAUCAUUCAAGACUGGGACUGACAGAUUCCAAAGGUUAAUUUUCAUGUAACCAGCUCAUCUUUAGCUUCCAGGAACCGCGAAGGGAUAGACAAGAGCUGUCCUGGUGGGGAAUUCCCUUGACCUGACUUGGAGGGGCAGAGAGGCAGGGGACCUGACACAGAGGUCAAGGGAGAUCCCUGGAUCAAGCAGGACCUAAGCCAAGACCAGAGCCAGAGAGCCAGGAGCGAGAUGUAGAGCCAUUGGCAUCAAAGUGUUAUCAAAGUCCAAGCAAGAAGUCAGGACUGAGGGUGGAAAGGAGAAGGACAAGCCCUGUCAGAAGCCAGGGCUCAGUCUGAUGAACCUGUUCAGAUGCCACCAGACAGAGCAGGAGGGCAGCAGAGCAACCCCCACUUCUAGUCCAGCGGCUCUUUGAGUGUGGUUCUGGAUCAGCACCAUCAGCAUGGCCCAGGACUGUGUUUGAAACGCCAAUUCUUAGGCCCCACUGCAGAGCCACUGAAUCAGAAACCUGGUGGCGAUGGGGCCCAGCAUCUGUGUUCUAACACAUCCUCCAGAUAAUUCUAAUGCCUGCUAUCAUCUGAGAACCUCUUUUCUAGACCACACCUUUGGACAAUGUUUGGUCUGACAGAGUCUGGAGCCCUGCAGGUGCAAUUAUCCUUGGAGUCCCAGACCUGUCUGGCAGGCAGGGGCCCUCUUGCAUUCUGAGGAACCUCUUCCACAGAUGUCAGGCUGAGUUUUGGGGAAGCACAGUUUUUGGGAAGCACGGCCUUCUACAUCUCAGUUAUUUCCAAAUGGGUUCCAACCUCUUCAUGUGGAGUGGGAGAGCCAUGUUCUGCUUAGAGUUCUAUAAGGACCUCCAUUUCCCCAAGGAGCCCAUCAUUGUGGUGGUGGGAAUUCCUCUUGUUGUCUUCAGGGGGCCCUACCUUUGCUGGGUCAGGAAGGGGAGGUCAGGCCAACAUCUAGAUUCUGACAGAAUCUUCCUGCAUGACGGGAAUUUCAACAUCUAUUCAACAACACAAAAGUCAGUGCCACUGUGAACAUCAGACUGAAGUCUGAGAUCUUCCCGGAGACCAGCUGGCCAAAAGAUGUCAUUGAUGCCUAGCUCUGGGCAGGCAGAAGAGACCCGGAGCCUGUUACAAACGCCUUCUCCUUCUUCUUGGAGUUGGUUCUGGCUUUCAUAAUUCACAGUGGAUCCAGAGUUGCAGAGAUAAUUCUUAGUCUUGGGCCAUUCUGGAUAUAUCAUUCUUCCUCAUAGACCAUUCUGGAUACGUCUUUGUGGCCAAAAAAGAGUUAAAUAGCUGCAAGGUUGUUGAUUUGUUUACAAAAAAGAAGAAGAAGAAGAAGAAGAAGAAGAAGAAGAAGAAGAAGAAGAACAAGAAGAAGAAGAAGAAGAAGAAGAAGAAAGGAGAAGAAAAAGAGGAAGAGGAAGAAGAGGAAGAGGAGGAAAAGGAAGAAGAAGAAGAAGAAGAAGAAGAAGAAGAAGAAGAAGAAGAAGAAGAAGAAGAAGAAGAAGAAAACUGCUCAGAAAGGACAAGAAAAGCUUCAUUUCCUAGCCAUUAACUGAAAACCACCUUUCUUAGGACAGGUUGACCUCUAAAGUGUUGACUGAUCCAUCCAGAAAAAAAUGUAGAUAAAUGAUGUCUCUUUUUAGCAUUUCAUACCAAUAAACAAGGUGGGAAAGAAGGAAUUUCACCAAGAUAUCAGCAGAAACAUAACUUUGGAGGAGAAAUAAUUUCCUCUUCAUUACCAGUUAAUGAAAACAAGCUUCUGCCCACCAGCACUCUGAAUUGCUGUCACUGUGGUGAGGUGGUGUGACAGGAACUUGGGGUAACGCCUUAGGCCUCUGGCAAGGAUUCUUACAUCAGAGCUAAUAGGUGAAUGUGUCUCAUUCAAGGUGGGUGCUGCUCUGUGCUAAGUCUUGGGCAUGGAGCCAUUGUAUCUGUACAGAAAACACUUGACUAGGCACCAUGGGGACACCAAGAGAGAAAGACCCGGAUCCUGCCCUCGGUUUAAGUCAUGGAUUAUGUUCAUAUCACUAUAUGAAUUACAUAAACCAGUGAAAUCUAUUUGUAUAGAUGAGAUCAUUCAUUCGCUUAUUCAUUCAGCACAUAUUUAUGGAGCACCCAUGAUUUAUGUAGCCACUUUGGGGGUCCAGAAAAGUCAACAUAACCCAAGUUUCCCAGGCUCCAGGACAGUGCUGGGGUCACACUAAUGAUAAUGGCCAUACUUUCUGGUUCUUCUCUCUACUAUUCAGUGAGCGCUUCUAGCACCAUGCCCCCCACCCACUGCUCCAGUCAAAUUCUCACUCAGUUUGCAUCUAGGAGUUUUCAAGCGUGGCCAGCAUGUACUCAUAAAGCAGGCUGUAAGCCACGGUUAGAUUGCAGCAUCUUCCAUAAUCUUCCCACCCAGCUUUGCACCCUCCCCUCCCCAACCCUUGAUGUUCAUUACCUAAGAAGCUUUGUAAAAAAACUUUUCAAGUAUUUGUGGCUAGUGCCCACUGCAAAAAUUGCUGCUGUCCACGCCAGGGGGUUAGCAGCUCCUAAAGCUGCCACCUCUCAAGGCACAGAACAGUGCUACCUUUCCUCUGUAAUGAGGAAAAUGCCUGACUCCACCCUGUUCUACAGUGUGCCAUCUGUACUCUAUUCUGUUCCAUUGGCCUACAGUCUGUUUCUUCACCAGUAUCACACCAUGUUGGUUAUUAUAGUUCCAUGUAAGUCUUACAUCAGAAUGUGUGAGUCCUCCAACUUGAUUCUUUUUCAAAAUUGCUUUGUUUAUUCUAGCUCCUUUGCCUUUCCAUAUAUAUUUUAUUUGUUUAUUUAUUUAUUUUUAAGACAAAGUCUCACUCUGUCACCCAGGCUAGAGUGCAAUGGUGCAACCUUGGCUCACUGCAACCUCUGCCUCCUGAGUUCAAGCAAUUCUCCUGCCUCAGCCUCCCGAGUAGCUGGGGCAACAGGUGUGUGCCACCACACCCAAGUAGUUUUUGUAUUUUUAGUAGAGAUGGGGUUUUGCCAUGUUGGCCAGGCUGGUCCUGAACUCUUGACCUGAAGUGUUCCGCUCACCUCAGCCUCCCAAAGUGCUGGGAUUACAGGUGUGAGUCACCACACCCAGCCUCCAUAUACAUUUUAGAAUGUCUUUCCAUAUAUAUAUUUCAGCCUGUCAAUUUAUUUAAAAAAAAAACCUGCUGGGAUUUUCAUUGGGAUUACACUGAAUUCAUAGAUGAGUUUGAGGAGAGAUGACAUUUUAAGAAAAUUGGGUCUUCCAAUUCGUAACCAAAGUUUAGUCUUUGAUUUCUUUAAUCAGUGAUUUGUAGUUUUCAGCAUAAAGAUUCCACACAAAACAUAAUUUUUUUAGACUUAUGCCUGAGUAUUACAUAUUUUGGUAAUAUUGUAAAUGGUGCUUAAAAUUUUUAAAAAUUUCUGAUUGGUUAUUGCUAGUACCUAAAAAUACAAUCGAUUUCUUUUGUAUUGACUGUAUAUUUUCUGUGAAAUUGCUAAAUUCAUUUCUAGUAACUCGUAUUUUCCUUGGACUUUUCUACAUAGAAAAGCGUGUUAUCUGUGACUAGAAACAGUUUUAUUUCACUUUUCCCACUAAUGUGCCUUUCAUGUCUUUUCCUUGCCUGAUUGCACUUUCCAGGCCCUCAAGUAUAAAGAUGAGAAGGAAGGACAGCGAACGUCCCCAUCUUGCUCUCAAUCUUAAGGGAAAAGCUUUCAGUCUUUGACCAUUAUAUAUGGAUGUUACCUGCAGGUCCAUUUCACUUCAGUUGUCAAAUUUAUGUCUGUAGGGUUAUUUAUAGCACUCUUUCAUUAUCCUUUUGAUGCGUGCAGGGUCUUUAGUUAUAUCCCUUACUUCAUUCCUGAUACCAGUAAUUUGCGUCUUCUCUCUUUUUCUUUGUCAGUCUUGAUAGAGGACUGUCAAUUUUACUGAUGUUUUGGAAGAAUUGGCUUUUUGUUUUAUUGAUUUUCUCUAUUGUUUUUGUUUUCAAUUUCACUGAUUUCUGCUCCUAUCUUUAUUAUUUCAUUCUUCUGUUAAAACUGUGUUUAUUGUUUAUUUUGUGUUUUUAGGUGCUUAAAGUGGGAAAUUAGAUGAUUAAUUUGAGACUUUCCCUCCUUUUUAAUGUAAGUAUUUAGUGCUAUACAUUCUCCUUUCAACACUGCUUUAUCUCUAUCUCACAAGUUUUGAUAUGUUGUAUUUUCAUUUUCAAAGCAUUUUAAAAUUUCCCUUGAGAUUUCUUCUGUGAUGCAUGAAUUAUUUAGAAGUUUGUUGUUUAAUUUCCAAGUGUUUGGAUGUUUUUUAGUUAUAUUUCUUUUAUUGAUUUCUAUUUGAUUCCAUUGUGGUCAGAUAACACACUCUGUAUGAUUUAAAUUAUUUUAAA